AAUAAGUGUAGUUUUGCACUAUUCACGUUCAAUGUUUGACCGUUCGUCUUAUUUGAAAUUUUUUUAUGAUUAGUAUUUUUAUUGCUAUUAAAUGAUAAAACAUGAAUAAUAUUUUAUGUGUAACUAAAUAUUUUUAAAUUUUCCAUAAAUUUUUCAAAUAAAACGGACGGUCAAAUGUUGGGCAUGGAUAUCCAUGAUUAUACUUAUU
rnacentral:pre_miRNA from 1 species